GAGAAACUGGGCUGAGGGGCGGGGAGCCAAAAUGUAGCAAUUCCAGGAAGACCGUGGGGUCAGCUGAGGUGGGGGGCUGAGGGCAGGCAGACCCCUCAGGACAAUCACACUCAGAACAUUAGAGCUGGAAGGGCCUCGGGUAUCCCAGCGAUGGUGGAACCCCACCCCCUCUUCCUCUUUUCGAGGGGACCAGAGAGUAGCAGGAACUCGUGUGUGGUCACACAGUGAGUCACAUCACGUCCAGGGGAACACUGGCUCUUCCCACUACCCAACCUGACUUUCUGGGUCCCCUGCUCCCAGGACCAGGGCAGUGGUCCAUUUCAGAGGCCCUGCCACCUCAGAGUCAACUCCCCCCUCACACCCCCUUCAGAGGGCAACGGAAGGGAGGCCAAGCCCCCUUUGCCCAGACAGCAAUAUUACCCAAGAUGCCUUCCUCAGCCUCUGAGCACAGAAUCUGCCCCUGAAUCCUGAGACCCCACUGGACUGCUGGCUCUGUGCUGGGCACUGGGGGCACUCUUGCCCUGCUCUGCAGGAUGUGAUCCUCACACUCUUUUCAUGAAAUGCUAUCUGGGCCCUUGGUAGUGGGCAAAUGUGUGUAUAUGCGAGGGUGCGUGUGCGCAUCUGUGUGUGUGUCCCACACACAACCCAGAUGGGGGGUGACGCACAUUAGUGAUGAAUAACUCACUCUGGCCACAUGGAUGCUGCAGGGUGGUGAGCAGAAUGUGGGCCAGCAGUGGUUGUACGGCCCUGCAUGGGCCGCCAGAGCUCUGCUUUGGGGAGGUUAGAGGGAAAUGGGGUGGUGUUGGACAGCACCCAACAGACUGGAGAGUGGGGGGCAUUCUCGUUCCCCACGGGAGAGGCAGGUUGUGCCUCUCUCCACGCAGGGCCAUAUCCCAAGGCCAGCUCCUCCACUAGGCCAAGCUGGCUACUUGCCCUGAACUCCUCCCAUGAUCUCAGCCCCCCAGGGGCAGGGCGGGGACAAUGGGUGGGCCGCCUGCCUGCUUAGCCUGUGCUGGCCUCUCUUGUGACUGACCUGCAAGACAUGAGAGCUUGUCUCCCGCGUCCAUCCCUCCAGGCCUGGCUGCCCGCCAGUGCUGCAGUACCAUGGCAUGGACGCCUGGCCAUCUUGUCCCCUCCUCCAGCCCCCAGGUUCCUGCCAAGCACACCUUCACAAGUGCCCUCUCGUCACUACAGCUCACUGCGCUUCCCAGACCUCGACCCCUGGCAUGGGCCUGCCGCUUUCACCACAUCAGCUUUGCUCCUGACGGGCCGAACGUGGCUAACCAUGGCUAACCGAGUGACCUGAGACUUGCCUGACCUUUCUUGUCUCACUCAUCUCCAGAUGGGAAAACCAAGGCUCAGAGAGGGGCAGUGAUUUGCCCUGAGGCACAUAGCUGGUGAGUGGCAAAGUCUGAAUGGGGACCCAGGUCACUUCAGCACACCACAUG